UGGGGAAUCUUGCACAAUGGGCGAAAGCCUGAUGCAGCGACGCCGCGUGGGGGAUGAAGCUUUUCGGAGUGUAAACCCCUUUCGACCCGGACGAAUGCCUCGCAAGAGGACUGACGGUACGGGUAUAAGAAGCCCCGGCUAACUACGUGCCAGCAGCCGCGGUAAGACGUAGGGGGCCAGCGUUGCUCGGAAUUACUGGGUGUAAAGGGUUCGUAGGCGGUGUGGCAAGUCGGGAGUGAAAUCUCUGGGCUCAACCCAGAGUCUGCUUCCGAAACUGCUGUGCUUGAGUGUGGGAGAGGCGCGUGGAAUUGCAGGUGUAGCGGUGAAAUGCGUAGAUAUCUGCAGGAACACCCGUGGCGAAAGCGGCGCGCUGGACCACUACUGACGCUGAGGAACGAAAGCUAAGGGAGCAAACAGGAUUAGAUACCCUGGUAGUCCUAGCCCUAAACGAUCAGGACUUGGGGUGCCGCCCGUUCGGGCGUCGUCCCGGAGCUAACGCGUUAAGUCCUGCACCUGGGGAGUACGGUCGCAAGA
rnacentral:rRNA from 1 species